GCUUCAGGGGACUGAGCCAGGGUGCCUCUGAAUGUAUAUGGCCUGCAAUCGGGACAAGAGUCCAUGGUCCCGGCUGCAGGCCUGUUCCUUCGAAUGCCGCGCGGCCGCCGCCGUGACGUUUCCACGUCGCCGCCCGCGGUUCUGGCCAACCUGCUGUCUCUUGCAGCAUGACAGACAGUGGGACUUAGAUUGUAGAUAAUUAAUAAGAUUUCAUAUUAUGAAGUCGACUUCAUAUUAGACGUUUCCGUCACAUUUUCUAGUGUUAUUUAAGUACUCGAUGUGGGGUCAGCGACCGCCUCCACAACUUGUGUUUGCUUCAUUUUUACUUAGAUUUAGGGUUAAGGUUAUGUUAUCACUGUAUCAACAGUAAUGUACUUACUUUGUUACAGCAUGAUAGACACGCAGCAGGGCAGACUCUUGUCUUCCCUUUGUUAUGAUUGUUUAAACUAAGUGUAAUUUCUCCGUAUAUAUUUAUUUUAUAAGGAACAUAAUAUAAGACGUGGCGGCAGUGAGACUAAUUCAAUGGGGCAUGGUGUUGAAGCUAUGUGGCAGAUCAUGUGUUUUUCAAAUAAUAUAUUUUAGUGUUAAGAUUUUUUUUGAGUGUUGUUAGAUUGAUUAACAUAGUUUCUUGAAAUAAAUAUUUGAG